AGCUUUACAAAAAGAGAGUGGUGGAGUAUCAGAGUACUUCCAUGUACUUUUAUCCUCUACAUAUCUACCACCCUUAACAGAAUCUGCUAAAGACUCAAGUUCUACCAUUUCUUCUUGUGUUAGUUUCACAGAUAGAGCACCGAUGUUUUGAUUAAAGUUCUCAAUUUUGGUGGUUCCAGGUAUCGGGCACACGUCGUUUCCUUGGUGAUGAAGCCAUGCCAAUGCAAGCUGGGAUGGAGUACAUCCCUUCUUUGUGGCCAGUUCAUUAACUUUGUCAAAAAUGGUCUGAUUCUGUUGCAGGUUCUCAGGUUGAAAUCUAGGCAAAUCCUGCAACAUAUUUUACCAACAUGCUUAAAAGACAGAAUAUGGCAACUUCCCUAAUUUAUAUAGAUAAUAAGAUACAAGACACACAAAUACAUAUUUUACCAACAUGCUUAAAAGACAGAAUAUGACAAAAGUAGGAAGAAUGAAGUUAGGAUCACAAGGCAUGGAAGUGUCCUUACAAGGACUUGGUUGCAUGAGCAUGUCUGCUUUCUAUGGUCCUCCUAAACCUGAACCUGACAUGAUUGCUCUCAUUCACCAUGCCAUACAAUCUGGUGUCACUUUUCUUGAUACUUCUGACUUCUAUGGACCUCACACCAAUGAAGUUCUUCUUGGAAAGGUUACCACUUUCUCUUCGCUUUCAAUACGAUGUUGAUAAUAGAGAUCAAUACAAUCAAUAUCAAGUCUCUUCAAGCUGCCCUCACAAGCUACUCUCACAUAGCCUGGAUCACCACAGAUCUCAACUUUUCCAUCACCAGCUCUGACUCCAAAUUUUGUAGCCAAUUCAACUUUCUCUCUAACUACCUUCAAAGCCUAUUCCACAAUUUUCAACUUCAUCAAAAACUAACAAUCAAAUAUAUUUUCAUGCAGGAAAAGACAAAUUGAAAUAUCAAAAUAAUGCAUACACAGAAAUUUUAAUCAAAAGAAAAACUAAAAGGGAAUGAGUAAGUGGUAACCUUUCCAAGAAGAACUUCAUUGGUGUGAGGGCCAUAAAUAUCAGAAGUGUCAAGAAAAGUGACACCAGAUUGUAUAGCAUGGUGGAUGAGAGAAAUCAUAUCAGAUUCAGGCUUAGGAGGACCAUAGAAAGCUGACAUGCUCAUGCAACCAAGUCCUUGUAAGGAUACUUCCAUCCCUUGUGAUCCUAACUUCAUUCUUCCUACUGUUGCCAUUGUUGACUCUAAUUGCUACACUGAAUGAAUCUCCUAUAAGGUAUACUAUAUAAAGGCCGGCCAAAGUUGAUAAAACUAAGAGCAGAAAGAAUUUAUUGUGUUUAUUCCAUUGAAAGGCUACCAAAUAUAUACACAUUACAGGUCAAAACUGUGUCCUUAUUUGGCUAUAUAGAAUAUCUGCAGUAUUAAUGUGCAUAACUAUGAUUGAAUCAGCAAACACACCUGUGUCAUUACCCCCGUUGCUGCAUGAGGUUUCCGAAUGGCCAUCUUGCCUAGUACAGUCUGGAAUUGAUGUCGUUCCAAAGCCUUGGUAAAUAAAUCUGGCAGUUGCACAUAUGUAGAAACAUACUAUUUGAACUAUUUCAUUACAUAUAAAGUGACAAUCGACCUGAAUAUAUUUUGUACGAUAAUGAAAAACUAGUUUUUUUGCUAUAUGCAAAGCUGUCUGACUGUUGCAAUUAAGAAGCAUAGGACCUUUAUGCAGAAUAUUAAGAUCUAAUAAUAAACUCUUAAUCCAUUUCAGUUCACAUGUGGUAUUAGCCAUGGAGCAAUAUUCCGCUUUGGCGGAAGGACGAGAAAUUCUGUGUAGUUUCUUGGUUUUCCUUUUUUUUUUUUUUUUUUUUUGAUGAAUCAAAAGCAAAGGAAGGCAUCAGGGGAUAGCUUGACACCCCAACUAGGUUGGCACCCCAAAGGGAAACCUUCCACACUUAGAAAUUUCUGAAUGCCAUUGAUGCAAAUCUCCAUAGUUAGCUUUCUUAAAUGUGUUUCCCAAAACUUCAUGGUUAAAAUCAUUGUAGUUUUCUGACUUUGCUGAAGGCAAAAAUAGGCAUGCAUUUAUUUUGCUUCCAAGCCUUUUCCACAAAAUGUUGAUAAUCAUAAUGAACUAUUCAGGUUGUCUCAAAUAAUGAAAGGCUUGAGGACCUUAUACAGAUGAAAAGAUUAUUAUCUGGUAUAAUUAAGCAACCUUACGAUCUUCUUGUUCACACAUGAGCUGUGUAUUGAAAUUUUGUCACUUUAAAGAAUAAUAAUAAGAAUAAUCACAUUAAUUAAGCUUAUAAAUUAUAUUUCCUAACAAAAAUAAUUGAAAUAUAUCUCAAAAGUUCAAGAUGAAGUUGAAUACUAGAGGCCAAAAGUAAUAGAUGAAAUCAUCUAUACAAUAGUUUAUCAAACAGGCGGUUAAUUAAGUUACAUGCCCUUAAACAUGUAACAAAUUAUGUGGAGUAAUCGAUAGAAUUCAAUCGAACUUAAAAAUCCGCAUCAAAUACUUUAAACUAUUAAGUUUUUAUACCAAUGUUUUAAACAUUGAACUGGCAAAACCACAGUCGAACCGUUCAAUGAACCAUAGACAGUGCCGGUUUACAGUUCAACCGGUUGAACUGUCUAGUUCAAUUCAUAAAGCAUAGUUUUAUACAACCAAAUCCAUUCAAAAGGAAACUCAUACUGAUUUAUUUGUUAAAGGUAAAAGACUAGUAUGAGCAUUAAGCAAGAAAAUCACUUCAUUACACAGCUUUCCAAGAAGAGAGUGGUGGAGUAUCAGAAUUCUUCCAUGUACUUAUUUCAUCCCCAUAUCUACCACCCUUAACAGCAUCUGCUAAAGACUCAAGUUCUACCAUUUCUUCUUGUGUUAGUUUCACAGAUAGAGCACCGAUGUUUUGAUUCAAGUUCUCAAUUUUGGUGGUUCCAGGUAUUGGGCACACAUCAUUUCCUUGGUGAUGAAGCCAGGCUAGUGCAAGCUGAGGUGGAGUACAUCCCUUCUUUGUAGCCAAUUCAUUAACUUUGUCAAAUAUAGUCUGAUUCUGCUGCAGGUUUUCAGUUUGAAAUCGAGGCAAAUGCUGCAACAAAUUUACAUAUAAGAUUAUAUUAAGGUAUCACUGAUAGACAUUAAAAGACAGAAUUUGAGAAUUUGCAAUUUCUCUGACUCAUGUGAUUACAUUCAAUAUAAUUGAUUAUGAAAUAUAUCAGUAUGAAAAGUUAAUAUUGUUAUAGACCAAACAAAGAGGCAAUUAUGAGAUAAGUUCCCUGAUCAAUGGUGUAAGUUAUAGGGAUUUAUGAUCUAAAUGUGUGACCAUGAUUGAUUUAUGUGUGUCUGUAUUUUUCAGCUGCAUUCAUUUUCUCAGUAUCAGUGUUGUAUCCAGUGUCUGUGUUCGUACUUCAUAGGAUACAAGAUGUCAGGUAGUAACAAAUCCUAAAAUGCAGCUACAGAAUAUGGUAUGUUAAGGAAUCACAUGCACGCACACUCACACAUAGUGCAGUCUGAUCAUAUAAAAUUCUCUCAUGCCAUAAUAUUUGUGUUUAGUCACCAUUAAGAAGAUGUGAUAAAUAUAUCAUGCAUGAAGUAAAGGAUCAAAAUGCAUGGACUCAUGAAAAAUACAUCAUAUUUUCCUUCUAUAAAACGAUCCAACGUUUUUAUUUAUGAACCACACUACUUUUUUUCUCUUUUAAUUUUUAUUUUUUUUGUUAUCAAAUAUCUCUUCGCGGUUCAGAUAUCAAUGUUAGAACUAAGUGGUUAAUUAGGGGAAGUGAAAGGAUAGUAAGUACAGUGGAAUUCUUGGGUCAAUGGUAGGAGUUAUCAACACGCAUUGAUCCCAUGGACCCUGUUUGUAUUAUAAAGUUCUGAAUUGUGUUCACUAGCAUCAACUUACAGUGUCAUCUUCUGUUCGCCUAUUCCCAAACUAUUUUAUGGACUAAAAAUGUACACCGACUAUAAUUUAUUUUGAACUACAGUCAACUGAAUAUACAUAAGCAAAUUUGGUAAUUCUGAUCAUGGCGAAUCAGUCGGUGAACACUAUUAUUGUGUAAUGAAGAUCGCUACAGAAAAUAAGUAUACAUAAUUCCUCAAAACGACUAAUAUGAUCAUUAACAAAACGAAGAAGUAAUUCACAUGAAUU
rnacentral:lncRNA from 1 species